GCCCUCCAGAUGUUUGGGACUACAAUUCCCAUCAUCCCUGACCACUGGUCCUGUUAGCUAGGGAUGAUGGGAAUUGUAGUCCCAAACACCUGGAGGGCUGGAGUUUGCCUAUGCCUGGAUUAAACUGUUGCAGACUAACUCUGAGGCAGAUGGAAGCAGCACAACACAACUGUUAAGACUGUUCUAUUAACUGCCAUAACUGUACCAACUGAAAAUAACUGCCACAGAGUCUUUGACAUCAUAGAGUUCUACAGCUCUUGCAAUCAAUUCUUUGCAUAUGCAUUCUGGAUGCUAACAUCCCACAGGUAUCACAUUUCUGAAUACAUUCUCAAGCAGGCAGAGCCAUUCUGACAACACCACCUCAUUCUGUCGCAAGGAUAGACCAGGCCAGAGUCAGAGGUCAUAUUUGCAAUCAGUUUUCAGCAUCAGUCCCAGGGAGAGAGACAUGAAAUAACAGGUUAAAAUCGGGCAGGCGUGUUUAUGAAGACUUCUGACAAUUGUGGACAUUAAAAUUACUGGGCCCAUUAUCUUUCCUCAAUAACCAUUAAUUGCCCUUGAAGCUUGUCGGCAGUUCUGGAAGGCAUGUGCCAACAUUUCUUAUCUCAUGAUAAGAAUCAGCCCCUGACAAGAUGCAGAGCAGGGAGGAGAAAGACCUCACACCAAUUUGAACCUCCCAAAGCAAGAUUCCUCCUGGCUGUCUAUCAUUCCUAUGACUGCCGUGGUGCUUGGUGCAACACACAGAACAGCGAUAAGCAUGUUUCUGUGGUGGAGGAAGCCAAUAGAGCUGGAAGGAGUUGCAUCUCAGUUGCUUCAGGAGCCAAGGUUUUGCAGAGAGAGAGAGAGAGAGAGAGAGAGAGAGAGAGAGAGAGAGAGAGAGAAUGUCCUCUGGUUGUGCCAUCAAUCUGCUUGGCAUUAAUUUCCCUUGUCUGUUCUUAAGGCUCUCAUAAUCUCAAAUCCUCUAGGGCAUGCUGAUUUUCCUUGUAAGAUUUAAAUGCAUUUCCCCUCUGCAAUUGCGCUUUCAAGUAAGACAUCAGGGGUCCCUUGAGUCUGUGCCAGGUGGAAAGCUACACUCCCAGUACGCCAUCUGGGAAGAGCCGACUACACAACCGUUUGGUUAAAUGGUGUUUAUUAUAAAUUGAGGUAAGGAUCCAUUUCCCCAGAAUAUAACCCUCUCCUCUACAAAGCAGUAUUCUUUUCUGGAGAGAUGAAUCAACACUGCUGUCUCUUUUUCCUUGUCCCUGCUGAUAAUACGGAGUUGCCUAAGUGUUCUUCUGAGCAAGGAUGGCCAAAUCUGACAGUUUUUGCUUCUCCCCAUUUCCCCCCCCCCAAAAAAAGUUCAGCUCAUGUUUAAACACCAGCUUGCACUUUCUUCUAAGUCCUCAUGAACAUUCGUCAACAUAGGAGUGUGAAUUUCUCCUAAUAUUAAUGCUUGCAUGCAGUUCUGCCUAAUAUACACAUUUUUUGCAAAGCAUUUUCUUCCUAAUAGAAUGCAUUUUGUAUGUUAUUUUCACCAAUAUAUGCAAUUGCAUGCAUACUGUACCCUAGCAUAUGCACUUUUGUGCUUGGCUGAAAAACUGCACUGGAAAAUUAAGAGAAGAGGGGGUUUUGAAGGAUGGCUGUGUCUUAGUCUCAUAUUGUUUCAGAAACUACAAAUUAGAUAGAUUCACUUUUAAAUGUGGUCUGAAUCAUAUUUCUCUCCCCCCCCAUCCCUACAUCCCAUGCUACUCCCCGAUGUUCCAAAGACGGUUCAGAGAUAAAUGCACAAUUUGCAGGUGAUUCUGUCAAUGUCAACUGUGAACUUACUUAAUUCUCUGGAGACGGUGACAGACACGAAUUCUUUAACAGAAGAGGCUAUUGCCUCAUACAGUGGCUCCAGAAAGAUAAAUGAAGAAUAGGGGGGGGGGGCUGUGGCGGGAGACUGUGUGAGGAUGAGCAAGUGAUGUUAAGUGAAGAUAAAUGCUUCUGGCCCAUUUCUGCAAGGUGAAAGGUACAGACGCCAUCUGUGAUCAACAGGACUCUGUAAGAGAAUACCUUUUAAAAUUUCUGCUUCACAUAUCUGCAGGCUGGGGAAAGGUGGCUGGCCAGAGAGAGGCACAGAUUACUAUUUCACAAGAUUGUGGCAACAUGUUUUACAUAUACAGAGACAGAAGUGAAAUAGAGAGGCAGAGAGAGAGAAUAGGCAGAGGAAAUUAUUUGUGAUAAAGGUGUUGGACAAUU